rnacentral:rRNA from 1 species
CUUUUGGAUUGUAUGAGAGGUUGGACCUGCCCACUGAAUAAUUAAAGGGCUGCGGUAUUUUGACCGUGCAAAGGUAGCAUAAUAAUUAGUCUUUUAAUUGAAGACUUGUAUGAAUGGUUUGACGAGAAAUAUUCUGUUUUGUUUUUGAAUAUUGAAGUUUACUUUUAAGUUAAAAGGCUUAAAUGCAAGUAAGGGACGAGAAGACCCUAUAGAGUUUAUAUAUAGCGGGAGUAUGAAGUGAUUUUGGAUUAGGGGAUCAUGUAUGACUGUUAUAUUUUGUUGGGGUGAUGAGAGGAUAAAAAAAACUCCUUUUUAUUGUUGACAAGGAUGUUUGGAAAAAUGAAUGAUCUUGUAUUAUGGAUUUAAAGAAAAAAUUACCUUAGGGAUAACAGCGUAAUUUCAUUUGAGAGUUCAAAUUGACGAUGAAGGUUGCGACCUCGAUGUUGAAUUAAGUUAAUAAUUAGGUGUAGGAGCUUAGUAUAUAGGUCUGUUC